ensembl:rRNA 5S_rRNA 5S ribosomal RNA
AUCUACAGCCACACCACCCUGAAUGCACCCAAUCUAAUCUGAUCUCAGAAGCUAAGCAGGGUUGAGCCUGCUUAGUACUUUGAUGGGAAUAAUGGAUAUCCCAAUUACCCUGAAUUGAUUAUUACACAUUGUAGACA